rnacentral:rRNA from 1 species
UCCUACGGGAGGCAGCAGUGGGGAAUUGUUCACAAUGGGCGCAAGCCUGAUGACGCAACGCCGCGUGGAGGAUGAAGAUCUUCGGGUCGUAAACUCCUUUCGAUCGAGACGAACGGCUUCCGGGCUAAUCACCGGGAGAGUGACGGUACCGAGAGAAGAAGCCCCGGCUAACUCCGUGCCAGCAGCCGCGGUAAUACGGGGGGGGCAAGCGUUGUUCGGAAUUACUGGGCGUAAAGGGCUCGUAGGCGGCCAACUAAGUCAGACGUGAAAUCCCUCGGCUUAACCGGGGAACUGCGUCUGAUACUGGAUGGCUUGAGGUUGGGAGAGGGAUGCGGAAUUCCAGGUGUAGCGGUGAAAUGCGUAGAUAUCUGGAGGAACACCGGUGGCGAAGGCGGCAUCCUGGACCAAUUCUGACGCUGAGGAGCGAAAGCCAGGGGAGCAAACGGGAUUAGAUACCCUGGUAGA